AAUUUUGUUUUCAGCUGAAGGCGAUCAACACCUGGCUAGCCGUUCUCCCGGCAUCGGGAUUUGUCAGCAGCAGUUUUACGGAGACAUUGGAUGCUUCUGACAAAGCCUCAUUGAUUCCUCUUACAUGGUAAAUCUUCACAGCAGAAUCAAAACUAUCAAUUCCAGGAAAAGAAAAUAUUCUGAAAGAGGAGAUUUCAUAAAACUAAAUAAUAAUGGGAACAGCUGACAACAGCCUCCGUCAUAAGAAAGAAGUGAAAGGAGUACUUCCUUGAAGAUAGUCAUGCUAGCCAUUCAGAGGGUAUUCUUUCCUCCAUGAGUCACAGAACAAACCAGCCUGGGAGAUGAAAUGUCUCUGGUCUCUGUGAAGCAGCAUUUGCUCAAAUGUAUCAGGCUGAGACUUUCCUUGAUAAAAU
rnacentral:lncRNA from 1 species